GACGAACGCUGGCGGCGGGCUUAACACAUGCAAGUCGAACGGAAAGGCCCUGCUUUUGUGGGGUGCUCGAGUGGCGAACGGGUGAGUAACACGUGAGUAACCUGCCCUUGACUUUGGGAUAACUUCAGGAAACUGGGGCUAAUACCGGAUAGGAGCGCCUGCUGCAUGGUGGGGGUUGGAAAGUUUCGGCGGUUGGGGGUGGACUCCCGGCUUAUUAGCUUGUUGGGGGGGUAGUGGCUUACCAAGGCUUUGAUGGGUAGCCGGCCUGAGAGGGUGACCAGCCACCUUGGGGCUGAGAUACGGCCCAGACUCCUACGGGAGGCAGAAGUGGGGAAUAUUGCACAAUGGGCGGAAGCCUGAUGCAGCAACGCCGCGUGCGGGAUGAAGGCCUUCGGGUUGUAAACCGCUUUCGCCUGUGACGAAGCGUGAGUGACGGUAAUGGGUAAAGAAGCACCGGCUAACUACGUG
rnacentral:rRNA from 1 species